AGGGUUUGAUCCUGGCUCAGGAUGAGCGCUGGCGGCGUGCCUAAUACAUGCAAGUCGAGCGGUAAGGCCCCUUCGGGGGUACACGAGCGGCGGACGGCUGAGUAACGCGUAGGAACGUACCCCAAAGUGAGGGAUAAGCACCAGAAAUGGUGUCUAAUACCGCAUGUGCUCCAAGGAGUAAAGCUUUAUGUGCUUUGGGAACGGCCUGCGUAUGAUUAGCUUGUUGGUGAGGUAAUGGCUCACCAAGGCGACGAUCAUUAGCUGGUCUGAGAGGAUGAUCAGCCAGACUGGGACUGAGAACGGCCCAGACUCCUACGGGAGGCAGCAGUAGGGAAUUUUCCACAAUGGGCGAAAGCCUGAUGGAGCAACGCCGCGUGCAGGAUGGAUGCCUUAGGGUUGUAAACUGCUUUUAUCUGUGACGAAUAUGACGGUAGCAGAUGAAUAAGGACCUGCUAACUACGUGCCAGCAGCCGCGGUCAUACGUAGGGUCCAAGCGUUAUCCGGAAUUACUGGGCGUAAAGAGUUGCGUAGGUGGUUUAGUAAGUAGAUAGUGAAAGCGUACGGCUCAACCGUAUAUCCAUUAUCUAAACUGCUAUGACUUGAGGACGAGAGAGGUAGAUGGAAUUCCUAAUGGAGGGGUAAUAUCCGUAGAUAUUAGGAGGAACACCGAUGGCGUAAGCAGUCUACUGGCUCGUUCCUGACACUAAGGCACGAAAGCGUGGGGAGCAAACAGGAUUAGAUACCCUGGUAGUCCACGCCGUAAACUAUGGAUGCUAGCUGUAAGGAGUAUCGACCCUUCUUGUAGCGAAGCUAACGCGUUAAGCAUCCCGCCUGUGGAGUACGAGCGCAAGC
rnacentral:rRNA from 1 species